rnacentral:tRNA from 1 species
GGCAACAUGCCAGAGUGGUUAAUGGGUAUGAUUCGAAUGUACAUGGCAGGUCUUAGGACUUGUCACAUUGAGGAUAAUCAUAUGGCUUCGGUCGCGCAGGUUCGAAUCCUGCUGUUGUCG